rnacentral:tRNA from 1 species
GGUAUCGCCAAGCGGUAAGGCAACGGACUUUGACUCCGUUAUUCGUAGGUUCAAAUCCUGCUACC